GGGAACCAUGCGGGCCCCUCACCCAUACCUCACCAUAAUCUCAAAGAUGGGAAGGGAUGAGGUGUCCCCACAGGAGCCAUGGAGCAGUGCUGAUGGAGAUGGUCUUGGAUGCUAGUGGGAUGCUGGACAAAGCCCUGAUCCCCCAAGGGAUCUUGUCAUUGCAUUUGCGUGGUAGCGUUCGUGGGACCUUCUGGCACCUCAUGCCUGCCCAUUCCUGGCAAAAUGCAGGGCCGGCCCCUGACACCCAAGACCUGGGAUUCUGCCUACCAAAGAACCGCCAAGGUCUAUCCCAAUCACACUACGGGAGGACCUGUGCGUGUGGCCUGGUGCCUGCUGUGGAGACCUCCAUGCUCAGAUUUCUGUUGGGCCCUGAAUUCCCUUGUUUCCAGUGAAGCCACAGAGGCUGAAAGCUUUGUGGACACACUGCAGCCUUCCUUCACGACAGGCCAGGAUUUUUCUGGCAUCAUGAAUGCAGACCCAGCCCCGCCCAUUCUGAUAUCCCUCCCAUUGCCACAAGGUGAGGUCUGAUGGGGAAGGUGUUUGCCAUUGCUGACUUGCCUCUCUCUGCACAGAUCCCGCAGCCCAACCAAGAACCCACAUGGUGCACGGAGGGGAUUUUGGCCCACCUUCGGGAACAGGCCCCGAGCCAGGGGUCCUCAUGGCCACCCUGUGCAUCACAGACCCUCUUUAGUGACUUUCAGUGGGACAUUGUCUUGGUGAUCAUGGACUCGCCAUUGAGCCCACCAUGGGAAGAGAGUGGAUGCCUGUCGCCCCGACCGAGAUUGCACCUGGUGCGCUGAGGGGAGUUUGGCUCAGCAUCAGGAACAGCCCCCGAGCCAGGGACCAUCAUGGCCACCCUGCACAUCACAAACCCUCUCUGGUAAGAAUGUUGAGCUUGCGAAUAGAAGGCAGAGACAGGUGGAGACUGCCUUGGUUGGGUCAAUGAUGAGAACUCAUAUGGUCUCGAAGACAGAUGAUGACCUAAAAAUUAUGCUCAAUAGGAUUACGCUGAGUCCCAGUGGAGGACACUGCACUGAGGCGGCAUCCUGGAGACCCUUGUGGCCCUGGCAUAGCGCUGGCACCUGGGGCACGUAGCAACCCGUCCCUCGAGGCUCCCCAAUGGGGCUCUCCCGUGUCUCUGGGCCUCCGCGCACCUAACACGUGCUCCUGCCCUGGGGCGUUAUGUGCCCAUUACUAGUGCUUCCCGGGACUCAUCCCUGGGAACCCAGCUAAGCUCCCUCGGUGUCCUGGUGUCUUUCAGUGGGAUGUUAUCUUGGUGACCAGGGUCUCCCCAUU